ensembl:lncRNA
GAACAGAGACAAGAGUUCUGAGUCUUUAAUUUGCAUUUAUUAAUAGACUGACUUCAAAUGACCUCUACGCAACAAAGUGGUGGCAGCUUCGAUGUCACGUCACCAUCAACCUGCAAAUAGAAAACAUGCAGUCCAGCUUUUAGGUUGUCAUCAGUGAGUUAAACACCAUGUUCACAGUACACAUACACAUACACACACACACACAAACACAGGAGACUUUGUUCCCAGCAGGUCAUCUCAGCAGGCUGCUGGAGAAGCCCAGUGGGAUGGACUUUGUUUUCUGGUCAAUUCCACAGCAGAUCAGGAAUGGGGAGUCCCGAGAGCCUUGGUAUAUGACCAACCACUAAAGCACACAGCUUUUACUACUUACUGCAAGAGGCUGCUGGUACUGUUCACGCCACGACUCCAGGAAGCUUCCACAAUUCUGGAAAAAGUUUGGAAUUUCAGCCAAAUCACCCAUCUUUAACUCAGACAAUAUUCCCAGACUUUAGACCUGCAAGGAAAUGUAGCCCGUCAACUACACAAGACGCCGCGGUGUUCUGCAGUUAUAUCGCACUAUGCUCAUGGCAGUGAACAUGUGGGUAAAGCGAAACUACAGAGUUACGGUGUGAGGCAUUUCCAACGACACGGCCCUACAGCCCGUCGGGAUAGACCUCAGCUCCACCAUCGGCCAAGUGCUUCAACCAACCUGAGUGCCUGAAUACCUGGUACGGUACAUGGAUGCAAGCCUUCAUGCAGCAGGAACCUGGGACAAGACAAAACAAUGGUCCAUUAGACAAGUUUUAAUCCGCCACACACAAGGACAUCUUUGUUGUGCAACUGAAUGGCACAACAAGCUGCAUUUCUACAAAGACAACACUUUUAAAGUCAACACAAUAAAAUGAGUCACUUAAGUUGAUACAUUGACUAGUUAAGUAGUGUCUCAACAACCAUACCAGGACUCCACACACAGGCAGCAUGGAGACCAACGAUGCCAGACGCUGAGUUGUUCUAGCACUGACUUUUGAACAAACCGGCUGAGGAACCAACUGGCUGCAGAUACCACACAGUGCUUUGGUUGUAUUCUGGUCAAUUCGCAGCCAUUAGAAAUGUCACUAUUUAUUGUGGCCAGUUGAAGACACCACGUAAUGCGUCUGGUUUGCCAUCCUGUUGGUCGCUCACCCACUAAGCAGGUUGGCUUUAUGGAAAUAAGUGAGAACGCACAGCCUCAGAACUUACAUGACAGCAAUCAGUCAGAAGACCAGUGCGGGGAGGAAACCUGCAAAAAGGAGGAGGGAGGUGACCACAUGUUCUAGAGGAACCCACAUACUCAUCAGUACGCAAGCAUGCGGUUCAGAGAGGCAGAUGUCAAUCACACUUCAGAGCAGUUGAACAUUUAGCCGAUCAUCAUGACACAAAGAGGUUGUCUCGCAGAAUAUUCAACUUACCGAGCCGGCCUCAGGUCCACAAUCCCUGAGAGAGAAGAACAGACAAACUUCAAUCCCCAGUGAAGAAACUCAUUUGAAACCCAAAACACUGACAGGCUAAAAGCCACAUGGAAUAAAUUAAUCCGAAAAGUCAUAAUUGAACAUCUGAACCCCAUCCAGAAGGUGUCAUUCAAAACAAUCUGCUCUGGAAAACUUGAGUGGUUCAGCAGAACAUUGAGUCCAUUAGAGACAAUGGACGGCCUUUUAAACAAUCCUGGUUCCUCAUUUACAGUCAGGUAGCAUUGCGAAAUUCUGGAACUAUUCAAAGCUGGAAACAAACUAAAUAUUUGCAUAAUUCGCCUAAAUUAAAAUAAGUUUGCCAUAAGCAGAGAUGCUUUAACAUUUAAUGCAAAUUUGAAAAUCAUAUUGUUGACAUGAUUUGUGAUAAAACUUUAUUCUCUCAGUGAACAAACACACAAAAGUUGAGUUAGCCCAACUGCUACAUUUUAGCAUCUUAUUGAUGAGUUUAUCAUCCGCAGCCUAGAAGAGAUCACCUGGUAGAAGAAGCCUUCUGCCAUUAGAGGAUCUCAGAAAAGUCUUGACUGCACGUUCAUAAAUCAGUGUAUUCACCGGCACUCGGGAACAUAACUAUUUGUAAGCGAACAGCUGUCCAUUCCCAUAAGUAACACUGCUGCAGAGGGCACAGCAGUGGGUUGCAAGGGAACGAAUCUCUCUGCGCACUGUGUGAGCUCCACGGCCCACCAGACAGAACCAGAGCUCUCACCGGGCGCACGACGCAGUUCUGGUUACAAGCUGCUGCUCCCGUUGAGGAAGAGCUUUAUUGAAUUAAAGCGUAAAACAAUCUACAACAUAACGUAGCUAAUUCUAAAUGUGAAAAAUCCCCCCUAUAAGAAAGCACGUGAUGCUCACCUCGGGUCGCAGCACAGCCGGCAGCUGUAUGCGGACAUCCUGCAGAGACACGCGUUUAGAUCAGUCGUAUACAGUGGGACAUGUGCCAGGCCUCAUUGUCACAGUUCAGCAACGAGCAGUGCAGAGGUGAAAGCAAAACCUGUCGUUCUAUAGCCACAGCUGGUCGGGGAUCAGCCCACUGCACAGGACAACCCCGCAGACGAGUCUGCACCGCGGCGUGCGAGGCCCGAUACGACACGUGGUGCGCGCCAAAAAACAGCCAAGUGCCAGGAAGACUUCUCAAAUCCGCACAAAGCCACUGUGCUUAUUAGGGCCACAGUAAAGUUAAUAUUCUGUCUAAUCAGACCAUUUAAGAACAGAUGUCCGGCAUUAGUCGGUGGAGCACGAGCGUGCUCGGCCAGAACGGUCCCACGUUAACGCUGUAACGUUACUUGGUAAAUGCGUCCUUUAUAGGCUCCAGCCUUACGAGGAUGCAUCGAACCCAAUGACUACAUACCUGCGAUACAACGAGUCCGCGGUUGCGUUAGCUACUUUAGCAGUUAGCGGAUAUUGCUCGCAAGUACAUGCACGACACGGUUAACGACUAAAUAAAGAAUCAAAAGUCAUGUCUUGACCGCAUGCAGACGCGCCGCGCACACUGGUGUCCCUUUGGUUUGGCUCAAUACUUCAGCUUAACGUGUAUCGUUACCUGCAUUGUCUCCGCUGUGAGUCCACUCGGA